GACGAACGCUGGCGGCGUGCUUAACACAUGCAAGUCGAACGGAAAGGCCCUGCUUUUGUGGGGUGCUCGAGUGGCUAACGGGUGAGUAACACGUGAGUAACCUGCCCUUGACUUUGGGAUAACUUCAGGAAACUGGGGCUAAUACCGGAUAGGAGCUCCUGCUGCAUGGUGGGGGUUGGAAAGUUUCGGCGGUUGGGGAUGGACUCGCGGCUUAUCAGCUUGUUGGUGGGGUAGUGGCUUACCAAGGCUUUGACGGGUAGCCGGCCUGAGAGGGUGACCGGCCACAUUGGGACUGAGAUACGGCCCAGACUCCUACGGGAGGCAGCAGUGGGGAAUAUUGCACAAUGGGCGGAAGCCUGAUGCAGCAACGCCGCGUGCGGGAUGACGGCCUUCGGGUUGUAAACCGCUUUCGCCUGUGACGAAGCGUGAGUGACGGUAAUGGGUAAAGAAGCACCGGCUAACUACGUGCCAGCAGCCGCGGUGAUACGUAGGGUGCGAGCGUUGUCCGGAUUUAUUGGGCGUAAAGGGCUCGUAGGUGGUUGAUCGCGUCGGAAGUGUAAUCUUGGGGCUUAACCCUGAGCGUGCUUUCGAUACGGGUUGACUUGAGGAAGGUAGGGGAGAAUGGAAUUCCUGGUGGAGCGGUGGAAUGCGCAGAUAUCAGGAGGAACACCAGUGGCGAAGGCGGUUCUCUGGGCCUUUCCUGACGCUGAGGAGCGAAAGCGUGGGGAGCGAACAGGCUUAGAUACCCUGGUAGUCCACGCUGUAAACGGUGGGUACUAGGUGUGGGGUCCAUUCCACGGGUUCCGUGCCGUAGCUAACGCUUUAAGUACCCCGCCUGGGGAGUACGGCCGCAAGGCUAAAACUCAAAGGAAUUGACGGGGCCCCGCACAAGCGGCGGAGCAUGCGGAUUAAUUCGAUGCAACGCGUAGAACCUUACCUGGGUUUGACAUGGAUCGGGAGUGCUCAGAGAUGGGUGUGCCUCUUUUGGGGUCGGUUCACAGGUGGUGCAUGGCUGUCGUCAGCUCGUGUCGUGAGAUGUUGGGUUAAGUCCCGCAACGAGCGCAACCCUUGUUCACUGUUGCCAGCACGUUAUGGUGGGGACUCAGUGGAGACCGCCGGGGUCAACUCGGAGGAAGGUGGGGAUGACGUCAAGUCAUCAUGCCCCUUAUGUCCAGGGCUUCACGCAUGCUACAAUGGCUGGUACAGAGAGUGGCGAGCCUGUGAGGGUGAGCGAAUCUCGGAAAGCCGGUCUCAGUUCGGAUUGGGGUCUGCAACUCGACCUCAUGAAGUCGGAGUCGCUAGUAAUCGCAGAUCAGCAACGCUGCGGUGAAUACGUUCCCGGG
rnacentral:rRNA from 1 species